UCCGGUGUGGUAUAACGGCUAGCAUGACUGGUUUUCACCCAGUAGAUCCGGGUUCGAUUCCCGGCAUCGGAG
rfam:Giardia intestinalis strain GS GS_B_0218, whole genome shotgun sequence.